UACGUAGGGACCAAGCGUUGUUCGGAUUUACUGGGCGUAAAGGGCGCGUAGGCGGCGUGGUAAGUCACUUGUGAAAUCUCUGAGCUUAACUCAGAACGGCCAAGUGAUACUGCUGUGCUAGAGUGCAGAAGGGGCAAUCGGAAUUCUUGGUGUAGCGGUGAAAUGCGCAGAUAUCAGGAGGAACACCAGCGGCGAAGGCGGUGCUCUGGGCCGGAACUGACGCUGAGGAGCGAAAGCGUGGGUAGCAAACAGG
rnacentral:rRNA from 1 species